UUAGAAAACAAGAAUAAUAUCUAUAACAUUUACACAAACAAAUUGAAGUGUGUAGAUAAAAAAUAGUUUGUCUCUCUCUCUUCCAGUAAAUAUAAUAUAUUUGGAUAUUUCCAAAAAAAUAAAAGCAAACCCUCCCCUCUGUAAAUAAACCCCCAGAGACAAUCACUCCCAUGGGGAAGGGAAAAGGCUACACGCAUCUGAAACCAAACGCGACAGAAACAAACAAGAGCCAAUACCUCAAAGACAAUGGGUACUUAUUUCAGCAAGAGAUACGACAAUUUUCACAAACAUAUAUACAGUAUUUUAGGUUUCCCUAAACAUUCUUGAAUAAAAAACUGUACACAAUGACAAAGCCAUCACACAAUAGUACAUGUCAAGGUUGUAGAUCCCAUAGUGUUUCAGAAACGUUCAAAAAGAGACAACAAAAAGCAGCUCAAAUCUCUGGUCAGAGUUGAGAGCCACAGAACGUUUGGAAACACAACUGCAUUUUUCAUACAACCGAAAAACACAAAUGUACUGUAUGUAGCAUUUAAGUUACAAUGAGAUGAUAGACAAUGUGGGUCUGUCUGUGUGGCAUUCAGACUAUAGCGCUCAUGAGCAGAGUAAAAUAUCCCUCCUCUGAAAAAAGACAAUCAAUACAUCUUUUGCUGGUGAAAGAAGUGGUGAACUUAAAUACUGAAGUUUAUCGAACUUCUAAGCAACUCAAGAUGCUCAUAAUUUUCCCCACUUCUGGUAGGUGAAAAUAUGUUCCAAUAAAUGGCUUUUCUUCACAAUAUCCAUCUCACCCGUUUCAAAAAAUCCCUCACUUGCAUAAAUGGAUACCUAACACCCAAAUGUUCCUCAUCUCCAUUUGUCUGAAAACUUAACUUUAAGGCUUUGGCUAAUUCAUUUGCAUGGUAGUCAAAAAAGAAUGAUCAAAUUCAUACAUGCUGUAUAUUAUUAACAGUCUGAAGAGGGUUCAGAAUGGCCUGGUGCGUUUAUAUCCAUUUCACAUUUGAUGGAUAUCAUAGUUUAUUAGUUCAGCUAAACUUGCUUCGCAUUAAUAACUGAUUUCUGAACAGUUUUCAGGAGAGUUGAGACAGCAACAUGCUAAAAUGUGUAGACUAUGGAACUGGGACAAAGAGGGCCAGUAUGUUAAAGACAAGCACAUGAUGAACAACCUCCUCCUCACUGGGCAAAAACUGGUUGAAUCAACAUUGUUUCCACGUCAUUGUGAGGACGUCGAAACAACGUGAAAAACUGAUUGGAUUUGCAAAAGGUCAAAGGGCAUUUAAUUUUUUAUUUGAACCAACAUCCAAUGACAUGGUGAUUUUUUGUUGUUGUUGAAUUCACAUUAGUUGACAACUCAACCAAAUGUAAAUCGAAACUAGACAUUGAACUGACGUCUGUGCCCAGUGGGUCAUGUGCCAUCUGAAAAUUGGGAUGAAGAAAGGAUCAAGUGAGUAUUUUCAUGUCAUCCAUAUCUAAAAAGAGCUUAAACAUGGAUGUCUUAAGAACAUAUUUACAGCACAUUACAGGGCUUAUGUCCAUAUAUGCAGUAGAAUAAACUCUAGCACACAACAGUCAGAUCCUCUUAUCAUAGAAGACGUAGCAGAGCGCUGUAUCUACGUGAUAAAACUGCAAUAACACAUUUACAAAAGCAAUACAUUUCUGUAUAGACAAUUAUUCAUAUGCAGACAAACAUACUGUAUUCUUAGGUAUAUCAUUUAGGCUUGUAUUUCCAAGAAUAGUUUUCAUUUGUGACCAAAACGGACAACUUUUUUUUAAAUCAAAAGGCUUUUGCCCCAACACUUGAGCAAACAGUAGCAGUCUCUCUCUUCUGUAAAAUGCUGCCAUUUAUCCCUCACUAACCUAUGACAUCACUAUCCCAUCACUGUUGCUCCUUCUGAUUUAAACUGUCAGCCCACGGGUCUGGGGAAAUCCCCCAGCUGUCAAACUGAGAAAUAGGCCAGGUAUUUGAGCAAUCCAUCAACAUUCAUGUCAUAAAAGUGACUGGUCAAUAGUAAACACAUUUCAUUCAAUUGCCUACACAACACAAACAUGCUAGGCUAGAGCAGGAUGUAUCACCAGUACUGUAGCAAUACACAGGCAGAAGUAUCAACAAGGUACUGGAGUUACACCACGGACACAUAAUAUUACACACAAACUAUCAAAACUAUCAUUUUUCAAUUAGAAGGGGUAAGUACAUUUUAAGUCCCAGGUAAUACAAUCGAAUAAUAUUAGCACACGACUGUUAAAAGACAGCAAUAUCAUGAACAGAACACAGCCUGAGAUGUAUAAAGCUACAGACUGGGGCGUAGGAUGUUAAAAUAUACAGAGGCAUUUAUAAUCUUCUUGUUUCCAUGAUGCUUACAAUUUUGUUGUUAAAUACACUCUGCACAAAAAGACAGUCUAGCCAACAAGGCAUUGCUAAGCGCAUUGUCAUAGAAUAGAUUGCAUGUAUAUUUAGAACUGUUGUUUCUAACCGUUCAGUUGCAAUAGUGUUUAUCAGCGUUAGAAAUGACUUUUAGACCCAUGUCAUGAUGACUAAUAACAAGGCAUAUUCUUGUGGUAAGUGUACCACCAUGACAUCGGCGUUAGUGACUGAUCACGUGAAGGGUAACUGAUUUGACGAGAGUGGCACACACCGUUCCAAUACUAGCUAAUUGUUUUGCCAAUUGUGACGAGGAAUGAAGUAGAAAAAAAGUCAGUCCCUCAAAGAGGGUUUUGACAUUGUGAUGUUAAGUUCAAGGUAAAGUGCUAUGCAUGAAAUCACUGGCCAACAGUCUUUACUUGACUAGAAGUAGGGUAAGAGAGUGAAGCAGGUACUUAGAAUAGCCAAACAUCCACUAGGAUUAUUUUUAAGUGCUUUUGAGUGGGCAGAUGUGACAUUUCUAAAGGUUGCUUAGUAAUCGAAUGAAGCCUAUUUCCUCAGAUCUGCUGGGCACCUGUAACUAAAACCAGAGGUUAGACAGGCUCACAGAGAAACAAACAGUCACAGAGCAGUGAUUGAAGAGACACACAUUACAUUCUGGGGAGAGGGUUCAACCAAAACACUAACUGGUUAACAGUUGGGUUCAAUUCCUUAUUCUUGAGGCACUCCUAUUUUUUUUUUUAAUAUUUUUUUUAGAUGCACAUUACAAUUAUGAUUUAAAAUAUGCCAAUCUAACAUUACAAAUGAAAUACCAAAU
ensembl:lncRNA